rnacentral:tRNA from 1 species
GCCCUGGUAGCUCAAUUGGUUAGAGCGUCGGACUUUUACCAUCUAUUGUUGACCGGUCUGCAAUCCGAAGGCUGCGGGUUCGACCCCCGCCUGGGGCG